rnacentral:rRNA from 1 species
CCCUUAGAUGUUCUGGGCCGCACGCGUGCUACACUGAGUGGAUCAGCGGGUCAGGUUGCGCGAAAGUGUUUCCUAAUCUUUAAAUCCGCUCGUGAUGGGGAUUGACGGUUGCAAUUUUCCGUCAUGAACGAGGAAUACCUUGUAAGCGCGGGUCAUCAUCCCGCGCUGAAUACGUCCCUGCCCUUUGUACACACCGCCCGUCGCUCCUACCGAUUGAGUGGUCCGGUGAGGCUUUGGGAUCUGGGCGGAAAGAGCGUUUCGCUGUUUCUGCCCGGAAAACUCAGUCGAACCUUAUCAUUUAGAGGAAGGAGAAGGCGUAACA